rnacentral:rRNA from 1 species
GAUGAACGCUGGCGGCGUGCCUAAUACAUGCAAGUCGAGCGAACGGACGAGAAGCUUGCUUCUCUGAUGUUAGCGGCGGACGGGUGGGUAACACGUGGAUAACCUACCUAUAAGACUGGGAUAACUUCGGGAAACCGGAGCUAAUACCGGAUAAUAUUUUGAACCGCAUGGUUCAAAAGUGAAAGACGGUCUUGCUGUCACUUAUAGAUGGAUCCGCGCUGCAUUAGCUAGUUGGUAAGGUAACGGCUUACCAAGGCAACGAUGCAUAGCCGACCUGAGAGGGUGAUCGGCCACACUGGAACUGAGACACGGUCCAGACUCCUACGGGAGGCAGCAGUAGGGAAUCUUCCGCAAUGGGCGAAAGCCUGACGGAGCAACGCCGCGUGAGUGAUGAAGGUCUUCGGAUCGUAAAACUCUGUUAUUAGGGAAGAACAUAUGUGUAAGUAACUGUGCACAUCUUGACGGUACCUAAUCAGAAAGCCACGGCUAACUACGU